UUUAUAACGACAUUCAUUCAACAAUUUUUCUAUCUCUAGUUUAUAAUAAAUAAUUAUUGAUUAUUACAUUUGUUUUCAUAAUUACAAGCAAUAAACGGCCAAAAAUAAGAAUUAUCUUAAAUAGUAAAUAAUAACUGAAAUAGUAAAAUCGUAUCAGAACGUACUUAACAAGAAUAAUGGAAACUGGAUCGUCCCAGAUCAACGACAUUAAGAAGACAACGAUGUUUCGAAAGGACUGUUUAAUCACCUCACGAAAUUUCAAGGAUAAUAAUUCGAAGCACAUGCCUUCCGCUAAUGGGGUCGGUGUCACAAAUCUUUAACGGUAUUAACAUAAAAAUUAUGAACAUAAAAAUUAUGAAAUUGUUGAUUUAGUUAAUCGUUAUUUACAUCGUUAAUAUAUAAUAAACAACGACCGAUUCCUUUGGUUCUUACGCUUGCGAUACAAUGAUUAGAAAAAUUUUACGCAUACAUUACUACGAUUAAGGACACCUGUAGCCGUGAUAUCGGCCAUCCACUGGUUCCUUCGCUAUUCGAUAAAUGAAUAAAUGAAUAAAAUAUCAAGACGUUUAAGCGAUCGAUAAAAUGAAUACAAACGUUAUUGCUUUCAAGAUUGUUCUUCAUUUACACAUCAAGCAAAGAAACGUGCAAUUAUGCAACAUUAAUAUAACAUUAUUGACAUUUCCACAUUUAAACGCAAUUACAUGAAAAUUAUAUUUAAUCGUCUAUCUUUCGAGCUUUAUCUUGUGUUUUCCUUCGUAAAAUGUUUCGACAUCAAAUAAUAUACGAAUUAAGAAAUAUACAAAAAUAUUUAAAAUUAUAAUUCUAA